GCCGUGUUUGCUGAGCUGAUUUGACCGGUUGAUACAGAUAGCAGCGGCGAGCCUCCCUGCUUAUGUGGAAAAAGACUAUUUUAAGUGUCAUAAUUAAGUUUAGAAGCCUUGUUUGGGCUCAUUCACUGCUCGAAAUAAAAAGGAAUGGCUGCUUUUAGACCCUUUUUGAAGGGGUUGGCUAAGCGCCUCUGCACGUUCGCUUGGAAAAGAAUGUUUUCUUUUCUAGUUUAAUAUUAGAAACUAUAUUUUUACUUGUUUAAACCGGAUUUGAUUGUUCCUGUGGAGAUUUUUUCCCCCCUCCUAUCACUCAAAUCUUUGUUCAUUGUUCAUUGACUGUGGAAGGCUGCUUAAAUGUACGGAGAGAGGGGGGAGGCCCCCUUGCUGGUUUGAUGUUGAAAUAGUAAACCUGAAUGAGGAGGGUGGCUGGAAAAGUGGACAUUGCAGCUUUAAUUAACUUCAAGAUGCUUCAGCGAGGACCAGAGCGUAGUAGUGACGUUGCCUCAUAAAUCUGUCCAGUACAGUGCGUUGCAUUGAACUAUUACAGUAUCACCAUCAUAUUGAAUAUUCACUACCUAUCCGGGAGCAGAUUUGCAUAAUUGGAUCUUUUUUAAAUGAAACCUGUCUGCAAAAAACAAACAAAAGCAAAAAAACAAAAGCCCAAGUGAAAACCGCGGCGAUCUGCAUGAUUAUAAGGGUUCAAACAUAUCCGAAAAGGUCUCCCUGUGGGUUGCCGCAGUGCCAGGGAAGUAUGUUGUUAGAAGAAAUUGAGCUGGCGAAUACAGUGAGUAGGAGUGUUGUACAUGCCUUUUCAAGCAGGAUUUGAAGACAACUUUUCUUCCCUUUGUAAUCUUCUGUUACUCGAAAUAUGAAAUCAGUUUUAAAAAGGGGAGGGGGGAGAG
rnacentral:lncRNA from 1 species